CAUACUAAGAAGGCUUUAUAAAGCAUCUGUUUCAAAAUGGAAGACUGAGACAGCAUCUACCUCCAUUUCUUUUCAAUGUCAUUAAAAUUUCUAUUUAUUAAAACACAUACCGUGCUAGAAAACAAAGAUCCAGUAUCAGGCCAGAAAGUUUCAAGAAAUACUAGAGGAAAAAGUAGGAUAAACAGAGAAAAUAGAAUGGGGAAAUCUAUAACCCAAAUCCUCAAAAGAUUAAAAAAAAAAAAAAAUCAUUUUCUCCCAUGUUGCUGCAGCUGCGUCAUAAGUCACAGGUGUGGUUUGGAUUCAGUACCUGGCUGGGGAACUUCCAUAUGCCAUGGGUGAAGCAAGCAAGCAAGCAAGGAAGAAAGGAAGGAAGACUUUCCUAGGAAGCCCUGAAGCAGGCCCAAUUCAGGAAUGAAUUAAUAAGGCUUGAGAUACUGGUCAAGGCCAUUAAUUUACAAACUUCAUCAGAAAAAACAAGGCAGGUUGGAUUUCUGCUCUUUGUCUUUCCCCAUUUUCUUGUAAGCAGCAGACAGAAAGCCAGAAUCUGGUUUUUGUUCAAGAAGAAAACCCUAAACUUUUAAGAGUUCAUUUUAGCUUUCAAAAAGUAGAAAGAUAAUUCAGGCAACAAAAAAAUGUUUUAAAAAAUUCUAAUCAGAAGGUGAUAAUGUAAGGUCUACACAUAUGAAAACCCGCACAGAGCUACACACACGCACAAGUGAUUAUAAUCUGAGCAAACCGUAGGAUGUCUGUUUUCGGUUUUGAUAUUGACAGGGAUCAGAAUAUGCCACCACAAAAUAAACCAUUUUGGCAUACUGACUAUUUUGAGGUGAAGGCACUUGAGAAAUAGCAGACGCACGAAGGACACUCUAACAUCCCCCUUUCUAUCUAAAAGCAAGUUAUAACAUUUCCCAUGAGAAAGGUGCCCUCCCUAUAUAAAGAAGAGAACAUUCUACCACCAGAGAUUAGGAAUCAACCUGUACAAACAAACCUACUAAGAUAACUCUUAUCUUCCGUUAGUUUCUCCAUUAUAUUUCCUAUUCACUUUCCCAAAAUUUACCACCCUUUGGAAGCUUAGCUCUCUUUUCCUUUGUCUGGUCACUUUUUCACAAGUUUAUUAUUAUUUGUUAAAAUGAUACAUAAAUUCUCAGGUUUAUCCCUUUCUUUUUUAUUUCUUUUCAUUGAAUCUAUUAAACAAGAAAUUUUUUUAAAAAAACAGUAAUUAAAGAAUAAUAACACAGAGUGUCAAAAAAUCAGAAAUACGAUUUUUGAAAUUAAAAAAUUCAAGUUCUGAAAAUAUCUAACAAAAUAAAAAUGAAUUGGACAUUAAUGAAAAGACAAUACAAAGAAUAAACUAGACAGCACUAAAGAGCAAAUGAACAAUAACGAAGGUAAAUGCAAGGAAAUUUUCUAUUAUGUGAAAUAGAGAAUAUGAGACAAAGUUGAGAGGCAAAUGAGAUAUGGGGAAAGGAUCAAGGAAUUUUAAGAUCUUUUGGCCCAGAGAUAAUAGUAGGGAAAAGAAGAGAAGAGAAAGAAGAGGAGGAAAAGAAGGAGGAGGAAAUUUUUCUGACCUCAAGAAAAAUAUGAGUCUUCAGGAUAAAGAUACCUACUGAGGUAACUGGAUAAGCACAAGGAAAAAAUAAAAUGGAUCCACUUUUCACACAAAGGAAAAAUCCAAAUAGAGAUUAAAAUUAAGUGAAACCAUAUUAAAUACUAGAUGAAAAUAUGAAUAAAUUCCUCCAUAACCUAGGACUGAGGGAAAUUUUUCCUAACUAUAACCCCAAAUCCAGAAGCAUUAAAAGAAAAGACAGAUAAUUUUGAUUACAUACAAAUUUUAAAUAAUGUGUGUUUGUAUGGUUUGGGAGGGUGGUUUUUGUUUUGUUAUGGCCAAAAAAUAUACCACAAACAAAGUAAAGGUCAAAGGACACAUGGAGAAAAAAAAAAAAAUCUGCAACUUAUAUCACACAGGGUUAAAAUUUAAAUGGUUAAAAUUCCACAACUUAUAUUACUCACAAUUAAAAUUCCUAAUAAAUAAAGAGCUUCUAAAAAUAUUUUUGAUCCUGCUGUACAGCACUGGGAACUAUAUCUAGUCAUUUAUGAUGGUGCAUAAUAAUGUGAGAAAAAGAAUGUACAAAUGUAUGUGUGACUAGGUCACCUUGCUGUACAGUAGAAAAUUGAAAGAACACUGAAAACCAGCUAUGAUGGAAAAAAUAAAAAUCAUUAAAAAUAAAAAUUUUUUAAAAAUAAAAAUAUUUUUUGAGAAGAUAUAAACCAAUGAUCCUGCUAAAAGAAAAGAAGGAAUAGAGAUAUGAACACACAUUUCACAGGAAAUAAAAUGAAAAUUGUUUUUAACCAUCUGAAAGGAUAGUAAACAACACAUUAUAAAACAAAUACAAAUUAAAACUACAGUGAGAUACCAUUCUGACCUUUGCUCUUGGCAAAAAUUCAAAUGAAAAUUCAAAUCUUUAACAACACUUUAGGAAAAGUUAAAGAACUCCAAAUUAUAAUAUCAGGUUAAAAAAAAAGCAAAGUAAAAAAAAAAUACUAUUUAUCUAAUAAAGAGGGGAAAUUGGAGUUCCCAUCGUGGCUCAGUAGUUAACGAAUCCGACAAGGAACCAUGGGGUUGCACGUUUGAUCUCUGGCCUCACUCAGUGGCUUAAGGAUCCAGCAUUGUCCUGCGCUGUGGUGUAGGUCACAGACUCAGCUUGGAUGCUGUGUUGCUGUGGCUCCAGCAUAGGCCAGCAGCUAUAGCUCCGAUUAGACCCCUAGCCUGGGAAACUCCAUGUGCCGUGGGUGCGGCCCUAGAAAAAAAGACAAAAAAAAAAAAAAGAGGUGGAAUACAAAUAUAUAUUUUUGUAUUUGCUUAACUAAAAACAAAAUUAAUGGAAGUACAAACCAUAAAGAAAUGCUAAUUUAUUGGGGGAAAGAAGAAAAAAAUAAUAAAAGAACAGGGAUAGAAGCUAAAUUUCUCUAAAUAUACCUGUUUAACAGAUCCGACUUUGGAAUCAUGGAAAAGACUUGUAUAGUUGACACCAGCCAGUUUCCUCAGUCCCAGUCUCACCAUAACAAAGCAUUGGAUGUAUUACAAAUUUAUUAAAGUGAAAGCACAUUUUCAGACAGGGAGGACCCGUGUGUGCCAGUUAAAAAGAGGACAUGACUCACUCUGCAAUAGUAUUUAUACCCCACAAUUCAACCUGAGUGGAGACCCAAUUUGCUCUUCUGAUUGGUGUUGGGCAGGAUACCUUAUUUGCAGGGGGAACAGGAUAUAUGGUGGCUGGAUGAGGAAUGGGCCACAUUCCUUCUCUAGCAGGGAGUAAGCAGCCCAGGCUGGUCAAGGUGGGGGAAGGGGCAGUACAAUGAGACAUGGCCAGAGCCUUUUGGGUUUAAUCUCCUUGAAGGGGCCUUGAAGCCAAUGACAUAGAUAGUAAUGACAAAGUCAGGUAAAAAAAAUUUAAAGGUAUUUCUAACACUUAAAAACAAAAUGAUAAAAUUGAACCUAACUGUAUAUCAAGUUGGUGACUUAAUGCAGAGAAAACAUAUCUCAAAUGACUUUAAAACACGGUAAUUUGACUCUGUAUCCCUGGUGAGAGCUGAUGGGGGGGUGUAAAAUCUUCAAAAAUUCUAAACUUUUCUCAGUAAUUACAUUGUUAAUAUUAUAAUUCAGGAACUAAUAUACAUAUACAGAAAGAAGGACAAAGUGAGUAAAUGAUCAUAUUAAAGUCUGAAGUACAAGAAUAUCUGAGGAGAAAAGAAAUAUGAACUAAAAUAGGUUUCAUAAAUCCCUGAAAUUUAAAAUUCAAGCUAGAAACACCAGUGAGGAGUUCGUGAUGUAUUUCUCUUUUUAGAAAUGUGUGUGCUUCCUAGCUCCUUAAACACAAAAGGCUGAGUAAUAACCAACUCCCUAACAGUGAAGACCACUUGUAAUCAGACUGCGGCCUCUAAAUAUGAUAUCUCCUUAAAGUUGCCAGGAGUCCUUGGAGAAAAAGCAAUUUGCUAAUCCUGGACAAAAAGUGAAUUGGUAAGAGCCUGGAUAUUCUGUCAUUAAGAAAGCAAGAAGGCUAUCAAAAACUAUUGGGGAUCAUGCCAAAGGGUUCAUGGGCUAACCUGAGGAGGUUUCCCCUACCUAGGGACAGAAAAAGGAAUAAUUACUGUGGCAGAGUGCUAAUACAACAAAUAUGUUGAAAUCUAUGAGUUGAUGAUAAAACAAAACAAAACAAAACAAAACAAAAAAACCCUCACUGCUAACUUCUGGAGAAUGCUAAGGAGCCAGCUCAUAAUUCUAAAAUCUGGUAAAUAAAGAACCAAGCAUUUAACCUGACUUUUUGUGUUAGAUACUUCAGUGCACCACCCAGAUCCCCCUUUACAACAGAGACACUCAUUCAGCUGCCAGAAGUAUCCCCAGGAGUUGUCUUUGGGUAAAGGAAACUAUCUUACCUAAAGUUACAUC
rnacentral:lncRNA from 1 species